GUGGGGAAUUUUGGACAAUGGGCGCAAGCCUGAUCCAGCAAUGCCGCGUGCAGGAAGAAGGCCUUCGGGUUGUAAACUGCUUUUGUACGGAACGAAAAGGCUCUGGUUAAUACCUGGGGCUCAUGACGGUACCGUAAGAAUAAGCACCGGCUAACUACGUGCCAGCAGCCGCGGUAAUACGUAGGGUGCGAGCGUUAAUCGGAAUUACUGGGCGUAAAGCGUGCGCAGGCGGUGCUGUAAGACAGGCGUGAAAUCCCCGGGCUCAACCUGGGAAUUGCGCUUGUGACUGCAGUGCUGGAGUGCGGCAGAGGGGGAUGGAAUUCCGCGUGUAGCAGUGAAAUGCGUAGAUAUGCGGAGGAACACCGAUGGCGAAGGCAAUCCCCUGGGCCUGCACUGACGCUCAUGCACGAAAGCGUGGGGAGCAAACAGGAUUAGAUACCCCUGUAGUCC
rnacentral:rRNA from 1 species